rnacentral:precursor_RNA from 1 species
AUCCUAUUUGCUAUAUGAACUUUUCAUUCUUGUUGAUCCUGUCCUGAAAUCUGCACCUAAUCUUUUGUUGCCUUAUGUUCGAGCGAAGCACGAAAAGCAAGUAGGUGCAGCAUGCCAGCAUCAGCAUGCCAUGCCAGCAACAGCAAGUAGGUAGGUAGUACCAACCUGUGCAUCCAAUCCAAGCUAGCAAAGUUCAUCCAAAACAAGCAGCCAGUGCCUAGUGGCACUGCGAGUCUGCAAAAUCCCAAACAUAAAAACCUUCAGAAAUCUCAACAGAAUUGAAUGGACAUCUGCCUACCUGCCUACCUGCCUUCCCUGCAAUCUUGGUUGGUUGCUGAUCAUAAUUCAUACGAAGCUGAAGCUCACAGAUCAGUACACACGUGUGGGUUCCAUGAGUCAUGGGGAAUGAAGCCUGGUCCGAAGCCACCGCCUGGGGACGGCGAUCUUCAGACCGGACGUCAUUCCUCUCAACAGCCAUGGAUCAUCAUCUCAGAACUUCAGAAGAUCCAAAAAAAAAAAUCAUAUCCCUGACAAAUUG